rnacentral:rRNA from 1 species
UGACCGCUGGCGGCAGGCCUACCACAUGCACGUCGACCGGUAACAGGCAGAAGCUUGCUUCUUUGCUGACGAGUGGCGGACGGGUGAGUAAUGUCUGGGAAACUGCCUGAUGGAGGGGGAUAACUACUGGAAACGGUAGCUAAUACCGCAUAACGUCGCAAGACCAAAGAGGGGGACCUUCGGGCCUCUUGCCAUCGGAUGUGCCCAGAUGGGAUUAGCUAGUAGGUGGGGUAACGGCUCACCUAGGCGACGAUCCCUAGCUGGUCUGAGAGGAUGACCAGCCACACUGGAACUGAGACACGGUCCAGACUCCUACGGGAGGCAGCAGUGGGGAAUAUUGCACAAUGGGCGCAAGCCUGAUGCAGCCAUGCCGCGUGUACGAAGAAGGCCUUCGGGUUGUAAAGUACUUUCAGCGGGGAGGAAGGGAGUAAAGUUAAUACCUUUGCUCAUUGACGUUACCCGCAGAAGAAGCACCGGCUAACUCCGUG